GCUGUUGCCAUGGUGGCUGAUUGUUGAGGCGGAAGUGACCUCACUGUUCCCCGGCUGGCUGUAGCGGACGCCUGCAAAACAAGACGGACCCCACAGCAGCCGUGAGUGCCCCCAGGGCCUUGGAACACGGACUCGGCUCCCCUUGUUGGCAAGGGUGGACGCCAAGAAGGCCAAGGAGCCUUCUCCUCCCCCGUCUGCCCACAAGAAACACUGGCUAUCUUUCUCUAGGUUAGAGGUGGCGUGGGCUUGACUUCAAAUUCUACAAUGUAAGCUCCCCAAGGGCAGGGCAUUUUUGUCGGUUUUGUUUUGUUCAUGGUGGUAUCCCUAGUGUCUUGUCACUUGGUAACCACUUCAUACAUACCUGUCAGAGGAAAGAAGGAAGACAGGAAGGGAGCAGGGAAAGAGGAAGGGAGGGCAGGAGGGAGGGAGGAAGGAAGGAACUCAAAUGCACGAGAGGAUCCCCUCGUUGUUGCUUUAGCGUAAUUGUUUCAGGAUUUAGGUGCGGAGAUUGGCCUUCUCUUCCUGGUAAGAGUAUUUCUUUUACUCUUCCAAAUGCCUUCUAGAAAUGUUUUCCCAGCACUCAUGGCAAUGUGGGGCCUGCCAAGUACGAGCAGACCCAUUCUACAGAGAGGCACUUGCCCUGGGAGGACCCCUGCAUGAGCCAUAGCAGAAGGCAUCCAUCUCUGCACACCAUGGUUUUGGCUGAGACAGAGAGGCCCCUGGGGGGACACGGGCAGAGCAGGACAGGGAUGUGGGGCUGCGGCUGGGAGUCUUGGGCUCUGUAAUUCACAUUCCUCUGAUGGGGUCCCAUCUGGCUGACUUCCCAGGGCCCAGGGGAAGGUGCAGCCGCCAGGAGGUGGGGCAGGGAGCACAUCCUGGAGGGAUGUGGAUGAUUAGUCUGCAAGGGAGGGGAGAACCAAGCAUGCUUAUAGCCUCACUGCUCUGACCCUGCCUCUUGCUCAGGAACCAAAACAGAGGUCUGCGCUCAGAAAGGCAAAAGUGCUGUGCAGAGGUGGCCUACAGAAGGAAGGAGAAAGGGGGUGGGGGGCAAAGAACCCGGGCCCAGUUUGCAGGGUCAAAGUCUCGCAGGAUGUGCCCAGGAGACAGCCAAAGACAAAGCUGGGGGGUCUCCGGGACACCUCACCUAAGCUCAAAGCUGAUGGAGACCAUGUUCUUGUUUUUCACUUUGGAUUCAACAAAAAGGUUUGAGGGACCCUGGGUCUACCUGCAAGGUAGGGAGAUGGAAUGCUCUCGGCGUGCCAUUGCUUGGAGAGGUGGACCAACUGUCUGGCUGCAAUUCUCCCUCUGCCAGCUUUCCCCAUAUUAACUCUGACUGUAUCAAGGACACUGGUUCUGUUGGUCUGUCUCCCGCUGCCCUGCUUCCUGCUCCCCCAGGGCCACACCCUCCCGAGGAGGCUACAAAGCCCCCCCUCCCACCAGGAGCCUCCAAAUCACUAACACGAAGCUUGCCAAAAGGAGACCCAAGCCAGUUUUCCUGGCACCAUCCAAAGGACGUUACCCAAGGCUGAUAGGACCCAGAGCCAUAAGGGACUAGGAAGAAAACAAACAGAUGCUAAGGCAGACUUCCAACCUUCAAAAGCAAUCUGCCUGACUCUGAGCGGCUGUGUGUUCUACGGACCUUCUUCUAUUGGUGGUUGUCCUCAUCCUUUGAUGCAUGGGGCUGCUGGUGGGGGUGGCAGUGGGACAGCAUUGGAAUUUGGUGGUUAUUGGUCUAGGGCACUCCACUUUUGGGGGAACAGGAGCCAUAACGUUAAAAGGAGGAAAGGCUUCCCUGCCUCCAAACCAGCACCCCUUGCCUGGUCCUGCCCAUGUUCCUCCACAGCCACCUGCAGUCCCCAAAGUCUCUCUACUCUGCCCCACUGGGUCACAUUAGGUUCUUUUUCUCCACUCACAUUUGCCACUGGACUCCUGGCAGGGUGUGUCCCAACAGCUCUCAGUGCUGUUACGCAGAAGAAGAAAGAUGUGUGCCUUGUGAGCUCAGGAGCCAGAGCAGAUUCAAUGGAAAAGAGGGAGGCAGGUUUUACAUCAGCAAGAGAAAGAGAUUUCUGACAAGGAGGGACAGUGAGGAAGACCGUGGGCUCAGGAGCUAGAGAAACUCGGGCUUGAUUCCCGAAUUUGCUCUUUGGAGAUGAUCUUGGAUAAAUGACUUUUCUGUCUGUGCCAUAGCCUGGUCUCAUACGAUGGAGGAAACAUAUCCUUAACACAGUGAUCUCGAGAUAGGAGAAAAUAUCUGUAAGUCUCCUAGCCUAAUGCUAAAAAGGGGUAACUAUAGGUGGGGAGGGGACUAGUAUGGGGAGGGACCCCAAGGUACCUGUCCUAAGACUCUGGAAUUCUAGACAACCCGGGGCAGGUGCUAAGCACCCAGUGGAAUGACCUGUCCUUGGAGAAGGGCUCCCCAAGGAUCAUUCCCUGAAGAAGCCCUGAGGUUUUGCUCUGGAAGCAACCUGGGAGGCAGGCCUGGCCUCUGCCGCUCCCAUUCUUUCCUUCUGGAGGGACUGGACUUCACCCUGUUUUCUCCGACUCCCGGGCCAGCUAUUUACCUCCCCAAGAUGCUCUGCUCCGGAGAGCGCGGUGAUAACGCGAGGAAUCAGGUGUGCGUUCCUCUCCCAGCCCGUCCCCGCCAUCGAUUCAGCCUCAAGUCAAACAGACUCCGGUUGUAGCCUAUUUAAUUUGGCUGAAGGAAGAGGGUCAGUCCUCUGAUGAUCAAAUAUGGGUCACGGAGAGGCUUCUCCCCUACUGCAGGCUACAGAAUUAUUUAUUUAAAAAUAAUUAACCAAGGAUAUCCGCAGGAAACAAAAGCCUCCUUUUAGGAAGGAGCCUGGCAGAAGGGGUGUCGAGAGCCAUUUGUGAGAACCCCAGCAAUGUAGCCCCAGGCUGCCGUGGUUUUUAAACCUCGUUUUCUCCCCCAGCAGAACUUCAUUCUAGGAGAAAUGUCAAGGUGGGGCUGUUGUGUUAAAAGACCGGUGGGCCUAGACCUCUGGCUAAGAGGGAGCAUCGGGAGGGAGUUAGGGGAUCCCUGUUUGAUCCCAGCCCUGCUUUCAGUGUAUUGGCAGAAACCCAGCUUCCUCACCUCUGAGCCCACUGGGAGAGGGGGCUGCUAUCGCCCCCUGAGUGUGGUGGGAGUGAGUCAGGGGGCUGCUCGCCCAUUCCUGAUUCACCUGUGACCUUUCCGACCUGUGCUCCUCUCCCCAGGAGUCUGGGAAUCACUCUGGGCCCAGAGAAGGUGGCUCCGGGAUCAGGCAGCCGCCUGAAAGGGUGUGUGGAGGGGGAAAGUGUAUCACAAGGUAUCUGCUGGCGAUGCACCAGGAAUAGUGUUCUCGUUGGAGGAAGGAGAGGCCAGGUCCUUGGGUAUUUCACAAACCCAGAAGAGCGCUUCAAAGGAGAAGGAGCGCGGGGGAGGCUCUGGAACCCAGCAACCUGGGCUGAAAUCCUGGUUCUACCACACAUGCGCUGUGUGACCUUGGGGAAGUGACUAAACCUCCCUGAGCUUCAGUUUCUUUGCUGUUUAACAGUCUCUGCCCCUUAGGUCAAGACGAAUGACCUUAAGAGAUGUGAAAGUCCCCAGAAACUGCCUAGCACAUAACAAUUGCUCAAGAUACCUCAGCUCCUUCUACCUUGGGACCAUCUUUGUCUAAAAGAUGUUUUCAGGAAGGCUGAGAUCACAAAACUUGACUGAGCCCCUGUCACAGGCCAGGUACUACACUAGGGCAGUAGAAUGGCCUCUCCCCUUCUUCCUUUACCUCCAUGAACUCUGAACGGGAAUAUACCACCAGGGCUCUGGUUUAAUACGACUGACUGAAGAUGCUGCGUCAAUAGCCCCAGAGGUCCCCGGAGGUCCCCAGAGGAGACAGACAAUGCCAGAAGGUGGUCUUCUACCUUGCACUCACUUCCUGGCUCAAGGCACUCACUGGCCACGUCCCCAUUGCUGGUCCUAGGAACCACAGCACGUUGUGUCCAGCAGCCAAAGUCCUCCCAGCUAGAAUCCAGAGCCAUCCCUGAGGUCCUGGGGAGGAGGUGACCUACUUCACCUGUUCCUAGGCCUCAGGAUCAUGGGUAUGGGGCUCUUUCUAAAUUCCUGACGGCAUGUGGGACAGAGACAACACAUCCAGUUUCUAUGCAAUACGACUGGUCAGAAGUAUCAAGGCAUGACGGAACUCAUGGUUCCAGAAGCCAGCAUCUUCACACUCGGCUUCCUGUGCCAGCACCCUCCUCCAGGGCACUCUUCACUUUGCUGCAGCCUGGGAUUUCUUUCCGAAACAAACUCGUACUAUGUCAUUGCCCUGUUUGGAAAUCCAGCAUGGCCCCUCACUGCCUCCUGGAAAAGCCACAACAGCAAGGACUGGCAGAAUCAGGCCUUUGGGACUCCAAGCCCCUUGGCUGUAGCCUCUCACACAACGCCCCCAUACAGUCGUAUCAGAGCACCUGCUGUCCGUCAUGUUGGCCUGUUCACCCCCUGCCUCCAUGCCUUUGCUUCUGCUGUUCCCUCUGCUGGGAAAGCUCUUCCCUUCUUCUCCAUGUCACAUCUUUUUUUUUAAGAGGGUUUAAUGUCACCACUUCUGUGAAGCUCUCCUUGAUUCAUCCUGGUAGUUACCUGCUUUGCCCUUUGCAUUUUACACACAGUUGAGAACCUUACAGCAGGAGUCCGUCCCCUGGCACCAUAACGUUCCUUUGACAGGGUACUUCUCUUUCCCUCUUAAAGGAAGGCAUGGCUAUUUACUCAUUGUGGCAUCCUCAGAGCCUCACAGAGAGCCUGGGACUGUGACUAUUUACUGAAAGAAGAAAUGAGCCCUCAGCUGCUUUGAGCAGGCAUGCCCCAGGACAAGAGAGCAUCCCUUCCGGCGGAAGGAGAAAAUGCAGUCAGUCCUACGGCAAUGCUGGUGUUAAAAGCAUGCAUCUGUUCCAAUUCUAUUGAUACAUUAUGGAAUAAUCUGAAUGCAACGUGAAUUUCCCAUUUGAGGAAUCCAGAAACCUGCACCCAGCCAAGCGGAGCCACAGGGGAAAACACUGAACACAUUAGUGUGCACACGCACACGCAGACGAACACACACACCCCCUUCAAGCCUCUACCAGCUACCAGCAGUUCCCUGCAUGGGCUAUCGGCCACCUCCACCCAUAUCUGGAGUUAGAACUUUCCCUUCAAUUUCUGACAGUCCUCCGCCCACCACCUCAUGGGAACUCACAGGGUGAAGCCCUUGUGACACCUGCUCCCCUUUGCAAACUUUAGGGCUCUUUCAAGGUAAAACGCCAUAUAUUGUUGCACUGAAACACUUCCUAACCAGUUCACAGGGGUAAAACUCAGCUCAUCUUUUUAUUAGAUUCUUAUCUCUUCAAAGGGUGUCACUGGAGAAGUUUUGAGUAGUGUGUCCUUAACCCCAUUCCCCCCCAACCCAUAAACCUCAUGGUUUAUGCGUGACUUUACAGAGCACUGUGGUUUUUCUGAUCUCAAUGUCAGCUUCUACAGAACUGGCUAUGGACCUGUGUUUGAGGCCAGACACAACUGCCUUGCAGGAGGACCUGGGAGAGGACCCACUCAGGGUGUAAUUAACCACAAGGACUUUUCAGAAACCUGUGCUUCAGGGGGCGGGAACUAUAGCUCCCUGAGAGCUUCUAAAAACAGCCGGAAUGCCACAAUUCCAGAAAUCAACAGGCCAUCAGCAUCGAGACACUUGAAACGAAUUCUCUCUGUCUCUCUGCCUUGAUGAUCCUGGGCCGGUCAACUUGGGCAUCUCGGCAUUCUUAUCUACAAGAUGGCCAUAUGGAUUUUCCUUCCUCAGAAGCCAGAAUACUGAGUGAGUAAAAUAAAGUGAGAGAAGCACCGGGUUUUCCGGGGAGAGAAAAAGCCGGGCAAACAGAAGAGCCAUGUCAGCCAGGGAAACAUGACCAGAAUUGCUCUUUUAUAGGAAGUGGGGGGAAGUGGGAGGUGGGGCCUCCUGGGCAAUUGUGAAGCUUGGCUUGUCCCCACGUGGCACUGAAGCCAGGGCCCCCAUUUUCCUGGGGUCUGUGAGUUGUACCCAGAAUCUGGUGGGAUGCCUUUCACCCUUGACAUUUCCAAGCCAAUCUCCCAUCCCUGAUAAUGCAGGAAUGUUCCUCCAACCAGUGGACCUUUGCCAGCGCGAACGAGCGUCCCAGCCACCAACAGAGUAAACAUUACUCAACAGGCCAGGGCUCUGUCACACACAUUCUUCCCGUGUGUUUCUAACCUCAUGCAGAGCACAGCCCAACCCUGUUGGGUCGAGAAACUGGGAACUUAAGCCCAGGCAAGAGGGAGCGUGUGAAGGAAAAAAGGAAACAACCCUGUCCAUCAAUUAUGGGCAGACAGAGCUGUCUUUGCUAUGACGCCAGAACUCAGGGCCAGGGAGGGGGUCAGGAGGAAUGAGGUCAGUCCUGAUGGGGGCCGGUAAUGGUGUCCACAGCAAUCCACUCCCCCUUUUUCCACAGAGGAAAGAGUCAGAGACACACAUGAUUCCGUCUUGGGAACUUCUGAGACGCUCAUCUGGGAUAAAAGUGGGCGCACCAUUCCCCGCUGUGUGACUAGAACUCCAGCAACGAGAGCUUUCCACACAGGAGACAGCCCUGCUGCCUCAGUGUCCUCAUCGGCGACACGGGACUCCUGCCAGUUCCUAGUCCUAUUUCCUCCUCUCUGGGCAUCAAGAUUAAUGUUUGCAGAGAGCUCAGGAGAUUAAAAAUCUGAAAGCCUGAGAGGAAAAAGCUGAUGUAAGAUGAAAGCAGUUCAAACACUAGGCUGGUUUCAAUUCCACAUCGCCCUCUACCUGAGGUGGCUCGGUGAGGAGGCCGGUUCGUAAGGGCAGAAACACAGACAGGCCCGCGGGGACGGUAAACAGUCUUGAACUCAAGGAGUAAAGUGGAGUGAUACUUAAGGGAAGCCCACAAACUGGUUUUCUUAUAAAAAUCAAAGCAGAGGGAGCCAAGAAAAGAAAGGGGGAAAAAAAAAGUCCUUUUCCAUUAAAGCAUCUUGGCUGAGAACAGACCCUAACGUGUACAGAGCGCCUGAGAAAAUCACACAUGUGGGGAGGUAGAAGGGCAACAGAAACUCUGCCUGUCCUCCCCAUGAGGCCCGCCGGGCCACCCCGCCAGGUCCUUACCCCAGAGUCAGUCUCUACAGGUAAACAUCAGACAGCUGGCAAUGAGCACUACAGCCUAGAGUCCGUGGCUACAAGUGAGAGAGGCCAGGCUGGCCUUUGAGAGCUCAAGAAGUCCUCACCUCUGUGAGUGCCCUACACACGCUGCUCUCCGUGUGUCCCAGAUGCCCAUCUGACAGAAUGGAAAACUGAGGUUCAACGAAGAAGAGGUUAUUUUCACUACCUCUGGCUCCUUGUCUCCCCUCCAAAGCUGACCCUUCUUCCUCUUUCCUGUAGACCCCGAAUCGAUUCCAGGAGGAUGAACCUCAACCUCCCCAAAAGAUGGUGUAAGAGCGAGGACACAACAUGUGGGGUGAAUGAAGGCUGAUGAGGUCUUUCUGCCCCUCGCUGGCAAGCUGUCCAGGUACAUUCUGGGCUUGGCUACAGGCCAUACCAAUAGGAAGCACAUUGCCGGGCUCUGGAGACCGUACGCAGCCCACCCUGAGCCCGGAGCUCCAGCCUGCUGUCUGCUGAGCCUGGGGUGUGUCCCCUGGGAGCCCCAGCACAGUUCACUGCUACCCCUGCAGCCUAUCACACCUCCCAGCGUCCCGCACCCCAGGCCCCAGCCUGGCCCCAGGCGCAUGUCACUGCCUCUUAGGACACGAUGCCCCCGGGUGUGAAAGUCCGAAAGAAACGGAUGGCUGCUGCCUGCCUUUCUUUCUGCGGCUGCUUGUCAAAACCUCAGUAAUAAUGAGAGUCGUCACCAUUUAUUGGGAAAGAGGGUGUUUACACGUUCUCUCAUUUAAUCCUCACGUGGGCCCGAUGAGGCAGGUCCUCUUUCUUUGUUCUACAGACAGGCAAGUCGGACCUGGAGAAGUGACAUGACUGGGUAACCCUGCCGUUGUGGGGAUCAACCUGGCUAGCUAGGGGCAGGAUUCAGAACCAAGUCCAGAGAACCCCCUCUCUGGGGAUGCACAAGGACUGCCACGAUGAGCCCUGAGUGAAAAUUCAGGCAGAGGGGAAGGCGGCCACAUGAACACACACAGUGUCCCCUCGUUAUUGCUCUAUAAACAGGAGUCCCUCCCUAGAAACACACACGAAGCCCCAGACGACAGCCUUGGGCCCUAGAUGGUUCUGUGCAUUCCAUGCCAGCACGAUGCCUUCCCAAGGAGAUGAGAAGCUUCUGUGGGCAGGACGCACACGCACCUACGUGGCGCUGAGUGGGAAUCGGCAGGCCCGAGUUCUAGGCAUGUCUGCCACCCUCGCUCUCUUAACUUGGCCAAGUUACUGCUUUGUUUGGGUCUCUGUUUCCUUCUUUGAAACUCCUCCCAGUUCUAGCAUUCCAUGAUUUUUUUCAAAGACUGAGGUCUGGUCGGCGGACCCCAGAGAACCCACUCCAGGGGGACCAUGCGUCCCGGGACCCCGAUCAGAGGGCUCUUGGGCUGUAUUUGGCAUGCACCCUGCUCAGUUUCCAGUACCUGCCUGGCUCCUCUGGCCCCACUCUGUGUCUCCUGUCAGUAUACAGAAGGCCUCCGCCAACGACCCUGUGGUGACCUCACCACAACCCCAGCUUGUCAGAAAGCUGCCCAGCCUUUGUUCGGCUUGCAGGCUCCCUGACUUUGGUGUGGAGAUCACAGGUCCCAGCACAAUAGCCAUUGUCUUCUCAAUAAUGCCCCUUGCCCCAACCACGCCCCCCACCGCUCCAGCCCCUGCUCCAUGGAUCACCGCGGGCGGGCAGCAAGUGCCCCAGUCAUGCUCUGUGCUGGCUACAUGCCGUUUGGUCUGCCCUCUGAACCCUUGCUUUGGAUUUCCGUUACGGGAUGGACUUACUCUGCCAUCAGUCUAGUGCUCUUCAGAGGUGGGGCAGCAGGGGGGAGAGGGGGCUUCUUGGCCUUUCAAGAAUAACCUGAACCUUUUCCCUGCGUGGCCGAACCUUUCCCUUCUGCAGGAGUGGGGUUCCAAGAAGGCCCCAGGCCUGGCCAAGGUACCCAGACACCCUGGAAGCAGUCAUGUUGUGGGAGCAGUGUGUGGAACAAAUGCUUGGCAACAGCCCAGCCAGGCCCCCCACCACUGAGGCCAGCCCCAGACCUCAGACCGCUCCUGGCAGCAGAGCAAGCAGCUGGCAGAGUUGCAAAUGAGGCCAGGUUCUCCUUUAGCAAACCCUUCCCCAGAGCAGGGGGCAGAUCAUGCCAUCCUCUUUCUACACGGACACCAAGCCAGCCUCAGUAAGCACCCUCACGCUGGGCAGCCAGCUUUCUAGGAAGGACUAAGCCCCUGGGGGGUGGGGCGGGGAGGGGCGGGGCGGGGAGAAGUGCUCUGCCUCAGACCAGGCCUGAUGCACCACUCAGCAUAUAGGGGCGCUUUCCCACAGUGACGAUGUAGGCUUUGGGCGCAACAAGCCCAAACCCCGUAGCAGAGACGCCUAACUCAGGCCGGGGGCCCAGCACACGGCAGCACACAGUAGGGACUCAACCAGUUUGGGCCAUCUCAGCCCUGCAAAGCUGUCAGGUGAGAUUCUGCACUAACUCUAGCAGAGCACCGAAGCCAGCAAGAGACUGCCAGCAGAGUGGCCCUUCCCCACAGGCCUCUGGGCUCCCCCUGCUAGGGCUGGAUGGAGCCCCGGCAUGGGAUCUGGACGGGGUAGAGGGGACCCUGUAGUUCAGAUGUAGAGUGCCAAUAAAGCAGCCUCUCCCAUCUCAUUGGACUGUUGCCCUGCUUUGCUGAGUCAGCAGCCACCCAGGGAGAAGAAAGGAGACCCAGAGAAAGUUGGGGAAGAGGGACUCCCCAGAGUCUGAGCAAGGACUCAGAGGAAACCUGAGUGCAGCCAUACACUGUUCUCCCAAGAACAUUCUGGCCACGGGAGCGGGCCAGCCCUUGCACCGUCCUGCCAUUUCCUCCUCGGGAAAAACCUUGCGCCAGCCCAGACCGGUGGGGAGAAGCAGGUUGGCUGGGCCUCCGAGGCACUGGGGCCUGGGCCGGGCUUACC